GGGGUCAAGUGCUGGCAGGAGGCGGGGUCAGGUGCUGGUGGAGGUGGGGUCAGGCACUGGUUAAGAUGGGAGGCGGGGUGAGGUGCUGGUGGAGAUGGGAGGCGGGGUCAGGUGCUGGUGGAGAUGGGAGGCGGGGUCAGGUGCUGGUGGAGGCGGGGUCAGGCACUGGCAGAGAUGGGAGGCGGGGUGAGGUGCUGGUGGAGAUGAGAGGUGGGGUGAGGUGCUGGUGGAGGCGGGGUGAGGUGCUGGUGGAGGUAGGGUCAGGUGCUGGUGGAGAUGAGAGGUGGGGUGAGGUGCUGGUGGAGGCGGGGUCAGGCACUGGCAGAGAUGGGAGGCGGGGUCAGGGAGCUGAAGAAGGCUUUUUCUCUCUCGCU